GCUGGAGGUGCUUCUUGCCGUCUGGGUGAACCUCCAACACACAUAAACAAGAGUUGGGGCAUGAGCCUCCCAGCUGAGAUCAAUAUCACAUUUGAUUAACGAGUGAUGCUAUUGGAUCAUUGCCCGGUUUCAUCAGCAGCUGGAGUCAGAUAUCUGGCACAGGCAGACCUCUGGUCAUACUCACACAUCAGCGUGCUAAAAGCCAUCACAGCGAGAAGUCCUUGCAGGAAAAUGCCAAACGAGUCCAUCAAGGCGCCGUUCUCGCACCCCCGGUUGUCAGAACCUGGCGUCGGGCUGGAGGACACCGACGUGUUGGUAAAGGUCACAGCGGGCAGCCCCGCUCCUCCUGGACCUGCCAGUGCCACGUUUCCGAGCUGGGAGACCAUGUUGACACCACUAACAGCAGCCAUGGGACAGAAGAGGCACACGAGACUAAUUAAUAAAGCCGAGGGCUGUAGCUUCUCACACUGCAGCGUGCUUCCCAGUUCCCUCCAGCAGUUGGUCAGCUAUUGUUACGCUGGACAGUCUUCGGUGAAAGAUGGAGGCAUCCUCUCCCUUCCAAGCGGGCUCAUUCUUCUGCUUCAGACACACAUAGUUGUCAUUGUUUUGUUAUUGGAAAAGUAAAGCCGUCGGUCAAAUGGGUUUACAGUAACCCCUUGCAGUAACGUCCUACGCAGCUGUAACUAGUUUGUCAACACGCUUUGAACCGAGCUGCAACAUUAAAAAUCAAUAGCAAGUAUAGAAGGUCCUGCAGCAGAAAAAAAACAACGUUAUCCUAGCGCGACCUGGGAUCUGUGAGCUAACACCGGUAACGCACAGGGGCUACACACGUGUCAUGUCGCUACUCCAACAAACCAAUCCCGCGUUUAUAAGUUACUUUAUGUUUUGUGCAGCGCAGGUCAGCCAGUAAGAGGGGGGAUUGUGCCGGCAAACGCCCAUAGUAAAAAGGGGAUCCAGCGGCUGAGAUGCUAUCACCGUUACCAAGCUAACUAACUCAGUUGCAUUAAGCUAACGCUGGGCUAGCAAACUUAUAUUUUCUCUCAGCCGCUGAAAGCAGCGGGUGCACCGGCUGCUCGUGACUUGAACGCCUGUGAAAACAGCUCGUCGGUAUACGAAAUAAAUGAAUGUGAAUUAUUGCAGGUCACGGCUCGCCUUCUUCCAGCUGCUUUCCUGACCAGCAGUGCCCACUCCUGUUGACAGACGUAACGUCAUGUGACAGGCCUGCGCAGCCACGAACUGCAUGCUGGGAAAUGUAUGACAAACACCAGGGGUAGUCUUCACAUCAGGUUAACAGUUUUAAUUGCAGUCUUUUUAAAUAGCUGUUAUAUUCUUCAACCGUGAAAUAAAACGCUGUUCCAUUAAAUACAGCGGAAACUACAAGCAAAAUGGGGGCAAAAAAAACAAAACAUUACAAUAGAUCACACUACAGGAACAAUUGGUAGGUAAAAAGAAGAAAAACUUAGUUACAAAAGCAUUUUGAAUAUCUUUAAAACAUCACACUUUUCAUUAAGUUAAUUGUUUAAAAUAAGACACUUCAAUUAUAUAAAAUGGUUCAAAUAACAUUACUUAUAGCUGAAAUUGUUUUAAUCAUACACUCCAUAUGAGUUCAGGCCUAUUCUGUGCAAAUGCACUGUAUAUUUAGGGCAUUUACACAUUGCUUAUGUGGAAGAGUUAAUUGCUCUUUUUUUCUCUAAUCACCCUGUUGCACUAGAAGAUACUUGAUUAUAUACACUAUAUACAAACAUGCACUGUCAUAUUUGCAUACCACAAUACAGUACAUGGUUUUCCUUGUGCUUGCAAUACAGAAUCCUUGCACUGUAAACUGUCCUUACAUACAGUAGAAGCCUGAACAAGAAAGCAAGUGUAUCUCUUGAGAUGAAGGCCCGCUUUACAUGUGUUGUUGAUUGUAUCUUAAUCCAGCUGGAUAACAUUUGCAAAUGGUGUUGGUAUAGUACACAUAUCUGGUGUUCACACUAAAAUCUAAUUCCUUACCUUG